rnacentral:miRNA from 1 species
UAUGAAAUAUGACAUAAACUUA